CCUACGGGUGGCAGCAGUGAGGAAUAUUGGUCAAUGGGCGGAAGCCUGAACCAGCCAAGUAGCGUGCAGGAUGACGGCACUACGGGUUGUAAACUGCUUUUAUACGGGAAUAACGCGCCUUACGUGUAGGGCUUUGCAUGUACCUUAUGAAUAAGGGACGGCUAAUUCCGUGCCAGCAGCAGCGGUAAUACGGAGGGUCCGGGCGUUAUCCGGAUUUAUUGGGGUUAAAGGGAGCGUAGGCCGCAUGUUAAGCGUGAUGUGAAAUGUCCGGGCUCAACCCGGGACUUGCAGCGCGAACUGGCGUGCUGGAGUCCGCGGAAGGCAGGCGGAAUUCGUGGUGUAGCGGUGAAAUGCUUAGAUAUGACGAAGAACCCCGAUGGCGAAGGCAGCUUGCUGCAGCGGAACUGACGCUGAUGCUCGAAAGCGCGGGUAGCGAACAGGAUUAGAUACCCCUGUAGUC
rnacentral:rRNA from 1 species